rnacentral:rRNA from 1 species
AUUGAACGCUGGCGGCAGGCCUAACACAUGCAAGUCGAGCGGAGCGGCGGACGGGUGAGUAAUGCCUAGGAAUCUGCCUGGUAGUGGGGGAUAACGUCCGGAAACGGGCGCUAAUACCGCAUAAUAUCAGAUGAGCCUCGGUCGGAUUAGCUAGUUGGUGGGGUAAAGGCCUACCAAGGCGACGAUCCGUAACUGGUCUGAGAGGAUGAUCAGUCAAGCUGGAACUGAGACACGGUCCCAACUCCUACGGGAGGCAGCAGUGGGGAAUAUUGGCCAAUGGGCGAAAGCCUGAUGCAGCCAUGCCGCGUGUGUUAAGAAGGUCUUCGGUUUUUAGAGCACUUUAAGUUGGGAGGCGUUACCAUCAGAAUAAGCACCGGCUAACUUCGUGCCAGCCGCCGCGGUAAUUC